rnacentral:lncRNA from 1 species
UCCUCUCCCAUGCACGACUGGACUUCCUCUCACUACAUCAUUCUUCUCUUAUUUUCUAAGCCCCACCCUAAAACAUUUGAACUCCCAGUCAUUAAUUUGCUAGGCUUCCGCACCCACAGCAAUCAUGAGCAGCUCUGGCCAUUUACCACCUAAAAGAAGGGAAAAUGGGACAGCACAGCUCAAACGGAGAGACCAACAGCUACUUGUCUGGAAUGGAGGAAAAGAAAUGAUGGAAGCUUAAAGUCAUCAGGAACAGCAUUUAUUAGACAGGUUGUAAGGCUUUGGAGGAGUCGCCUGAGGAUGGGAGUUGACGGAAUACAACAUUACGUGAAUAUGGUCACAUUCAUCAGGCCAGUCUUCUUCCAAAUGCCUUCUUUGAGUCUCGUGAGGGUAGGCUUGUGAUGUACGAUUUAGAAAGAAGAUUUCCACAGGCAUUCCACAAUUACAAGUAUCCACCCCACCAGACUCCAUUUUCCAAUCUUCUGACUUUGGCUGUCAGGAUUUGUCGAUGUGAAGAGGAAGAGGGAAUAAAAAGCUUUCUUCUACAUUUCCUGAAUGCAUUGGACUUGCCCCCCAGAAUAAAAGGCGAAAGUAAUUACACAAACUACUACACUCUGGAGGCCUCUACCAUAGCUUUGUGCUACAACGAAACCCCUGGACUCCGCAGACCAGUGAAGUACUAUGGAGCAUCCCUGUCCUGCAGAGGGGAGAGAGAAAAGAACAUUAUGAUCAAUUGGUCAUGUCUAAAUGUGUGGCAUGACUAUGUGUCUUAUGCAGUGUUGUCAUUCAGACAUGAUGAACAGGGAAACGGUAUCAGAUUCCCUGUCACCGUAAAAUGCAGAGCAUUCUACAGGAAUCCCCAGACCAAUUGUUAUGAAGACCGAAGGCCGUGCAAAAACUGUGGGGAUCUUUUCUCUCUCUCAAACCCUGAGAUGGACAAAAAUGACUUUCCCUACGGAAACUGUGCUGAGACAGAGUGCCUCAGUAACCUUCUAUUAGGUGAUCAUGAUGUCUGCAGCAAUAUGAGUUUUGGACACUACACAAGAGAAAAGGUCAUAGAGAAACUAUACAAGACAAAUGGUCUCAGAAAUAUGGCAGAAAACGCUUUGGAACAUUUAGGUUUCGUUUCACACGGGCAUGAUUUGCCUAGAUAAAUAAAGGUUAAAUAAAAUAAAAUGUGUUUUGUGUCACAGUGGAAACUGUUUCCACAUUUCUGAUGUGACAGGAAACUACAGAAAGGGUGUGACACUGAACUUGUUUGAAUGCAGACCAUUCAGAGAAACCAUAGCUAAAACAAUGGGCAAAUACAGACAGCAUGAUGAUAGAGCUACAAUGAUGUUACUUUAUGAGACAAAUGUAUCUUGUAAAUAUCUUGUAUCCAUCAAUAAAUGAGAAUUCUUAAAAGUUG